rnacentral:tRNA from 1 species
GCGGAAGUGGCGGAAUUGGUAGACGCACCAGAUUUAGGUUCUGGCGCCGCAAGGUGUGAGAGUUCAAGUCUCUCCUGAUUUA